ACCGGAUAACAUCUGCUCCCUUUGGUCCAAUGCGCGCCUAGAAAAGCCGCGCGCCCGCCUCGCGUUCUGAGCCGGAGCGAGAGGCGCUUCAGAGGAGGGACCGACCUGCCGGAGCCGGCCGCCCCGCCGAGCUGCAGUCGCCGCCGCCGCAGCCGCUGUCGCUGUCAGAGCCCGUCCGAAGAGUGACACCUUCGCGAAAAGACAGGAGCUGUGAAACAUUUGCACACGUAGUCUUCGGAUCCCAGGUCCCCACUCAUGAGCCUGAGGCUGUGAGACAUGUUCCAUGUGCCAAGGGGAGUUCUCACCAAAUCUUCUGAGGCUGUCCUAGUCAUACACUGUUCGGUCUGAGUCAGCAUUACCAGCUUAUCCAAGAGAAGUACUAUCAUAUUCAUUAACAACGUCGAAAGUAGCCUACUUUAAGAGAAAAUAUGCAGAAGAAGAAGAUUUACAUCAAGAUUACCAUGGGUAUUUUCCAAAACACCUGAUAUUACCCGAAGACAGGACUUGUAUCCUCAAACUGUCUCUGGAGAAGCUCAGGUUUCUUGAAGACCCAGAAACCUACCUAAGAAGGUCUGUGUUAAUUAACAAUUUGCUGAGGAAGAUACACCUAGAGACGGAGAAAGAGAGCUAUGAAUACUUCAAGGAAGCUCCCUGCUAUAAGACUGCUUAUUCCGAUACAAGAAAACGGCUGAAGUUUAUGGUACAGGAGUGCUGUUCCCAGUCUCUCUACUAUGAAGAGCUGCAUUCCUACCACAUUGUGCCUUACACUUCGGAGAAUGCCAUCUAUGGGAUGGGCUACACCGGUGACCACUUGGAGCAAAAUUCUCAGUUGCUCAUUUAUAAAAUGAAUUAAAAAGUAACUGUUAAGUUCAUUGA